GAUCACUUCUCUUGGAGCCCUUCAGUGAGCCCAGGACAUGGGUUUUCAAUUUCAAGAGUUCUUGUCUGAGGGGUAAGUAUUUGUUUCCAUUUGUUACAAACAUUGGCAGUAAUUUUCUUCUGACAAAUACAUCUAGCAAGUGUCCUGUACAAAUACCUGGAAACCUAAAGCCCAAGAAUUGUGCUUUUCUGGUGAAAAAUCAUUUAUGAGGAACUGGAAAGACAAGGAGACUUAAUAUCCAACAGUGAUUGUCACAAAAAUGACAAAGUUUUCCCCAAACUUGGAAUUGUUAGCCUGGAAACAUGCCCUAGGCAAACAGGAAAAAGUGACUGCUUCAUUUUGCAAUUGGUUUUAUUUCCUGUCUCAUUGCUUCACUGCACUGCGAGAACCCCAGGGAAGUGGACAAGGUAGUUUAUUCAGUGCAUUCUUAUUGCUCUAAGAAUAUGAAAACAAUAUCCCAGCUUCACUAUGAAUUGACCUUGAUGAUCUGUAUAACAUUUGUCAGAGACUAAUAAAAUUUGUAAAUAUA